rnacentral:rRNA from 1 species
UGGGGAAUUUUGCGCAGUGGGGGAAACCCUGACGCAGCAACGCCGCGUGAGUGAUGAAGGACUUCGGGUCGUAAAGCUCUGUCAGAGGGGAAGAAAUGCAGGGGGGCUAAUAUCAUCUUUGCUUGACGGUACCCUCAAAGGAAGCACCGGCUAAAUCCGUGCCAGCAGCCGCGGAAAUACGGAGGGUGCGAGCGGGGUUGGGAAGGAGGGGGCGUAAAGCGCGUGUAGGCGGUUUGAUAAGUCUGAUGUGAAAGCCCCGGGCUCAACCUGGGAAGUGCAUUGGAAACUGUCAGACUUGAAUACGGGAGAGGGUAGUGGAAUUCCUAGUGUAGGAGUGAAAUCCGUAGAUAUUAGGAGGAACACCGGUGGCGAAGGCGGCUACCUGGACCGAUAUUGACGCUGAGACGCGAAAGCGUGGGGAGCAAACAG